ACUAGCUUAGGCAAAGUAGGGAAUUACCAGUUUAUAUAACAGUAUUUUAGAGGUACUGUGGCUUCAGGUGUGACUGGAUCAAGGGAUCCUCAUGACAAAACAGGAGGAGAGGGGCAUGAGGGAACCUGACAGGAAGUGAGGAUUCGAGACUUCAAAUACAAACAUUAUGAAAAACAAGCAACAUCUGCAAACAACACUCUCUCGCAGGCACUUCCUGGACAGUGGGAUGUAACCGAGCAAGCUCUGUGCAGUAGGAAAUCGGAGAAGUCCAACUUUCAGCAGCCUUCAUAUUUGGAAUUCCAGGGGUUUACCUCCUACCCUCCUCAACAAACCCCGUGAAGGGUGGAUAAUUGCUCCGGGCUUUAUUACAGCA